rnacentral:rRNA from 1 species
UACGAAGGGGGCUAGCGUUGCUCGGAAUUACUGGGCGUAAAGGGAGCGUAGGCGGGUUAUCAAGUUGGGGGUGAAAGCCCGGGGCUCAACCUCGGAAUUGCCUUCAAAACUGAUAACCUGGAGUAUGGAAGAGGUAAGUGGAACUCCGAGUGUAGAGGUGAAAUUCGUAGAUAUUCGGAAGAACACCAGUGGCGAAGGCGGCUCACUGGCCCGAUACUGACGCUGAGGCACGAAAGCGUGGGGAGCAAACAGG